GAGGGGGGGGGGUGAUUUACUGCUGGCAGGGAAUUUUUUUUCUGGGAUCGUUCUGUGCAAGAUAUUUUUUUUAUCACCAUCACCAUGUACGAUUUUUUUUUGCCACACUUUCUUUCGCAGCAUUUUUUUUUUCAAUAUCUUAUACUAUUUAGAUUAUAGUUAACGUUGAGUUUUUUAGCUUAAUGCAUUGCUCUUAAUAAUACAUUUUGCUAUGAGGUAUAACAUUUGGUUCAGUGCCUUUUUUAAGGAUGUGCAACUGGAAAAGUUCCAGUCGGAAAGUCUGUAUACAGGGCCGUAGCUAGCAUGUAUAGUUGGGGGAGGGGGGGGGGGCAUGGUGUAGGCCAAAAAUUUCCGAAUGACGAAAAUAAUUUCCG